GUGAACGCCCUCACGGGCUUAUAACUAUUCCAAACCUCUGUGAACCGUGCCCUUCGGGGCUAUUUUACAAACAUGGUGUAAUGAACGUCAUAUAUCAUAACAUAACA
rnacentral:misc_RNA from 1 species